GUCUUGCUGAAUGGCAGCUCUUCCUUCUGGUGUGUCAGGCACUCCUCUCAUCUUUGUAUCAUCAUCAAACUUGCUGAGACUGCACUCUCUCCCUUCAUCCAGGUCGCUGAUGAAGAAGUUCAACAAGACCGGACCCAGGACUGACCACUGGGGAACACCUGUAUUUACAGGCCUCAAACCAGACUCUGCACUGCUUACCACAACUCUCUGAGCUCUGCCAAUCAACCACUCCUCAAUCCACCUCACUCUCCACUCAUCUAUCCCACACUUUUAAGCUUACUUCCACUGGACCAAAGCUUUUCCCAGCAGCAGAAACCUGUUAUCCAAAAGCCAGCUGUACAUUUCCCUCAUAAUAAACCAGAUGCCUCUAGAAAUUAAUUAAGAUCUCAUCACAAUCAAACUCACCUCAGGAUCUUCUAAGAAGAAGGAGUUCUUCAGAUGCUGACAGUCAGGGUUGGAGACUACUGCAGAGGCUGAGGUCUUGUCCCACUGUCGAGCCUUGUCAUUAAUAGCAACCUUGAUCCUGCUAUAUGAAGCACACAUGGAAUGGAUGGUUCUCACGCAGAGAGCAUCUCUUCACAUGGAAAGCAAUUUUGCACGAGGACGCAAGAAAGGAUGCAAAGAUUUGUGCCAAGGCCUGCUAAGGCAGGGCAGGUGGAAGAAUUCUGUCUUUGUUGGAAGCCGGGCUGAAUGGCCUCCCCAGUCUACUGUCACUGACAUUUGGGUGAUCUCAGCGCUAGUGGAGUCAUCCAAUAUCUGCGGCACUGCUGAGAGACUCCCGUCCACGUCUGCAAGGAAGGUCAUGCAGAGCCAGUACCCAGUGCUUUGGAAGAAGCCAGUGCAUCAUGAUGCCUUAGAAGUCUUCCAAAAAUCAGUCCUGGGGUAAGAGAGAGGAGGAGAGGAGAGGGAGAGGAGAGGGAGAGGAGAGGGAGAGGAGA
rnacentral:lncRNA from 1 species